CCCUGUGUAUCUCUUCCAUCACCCUUAUAGCCUCCUCCGGGCUCACACACCGGAACCAUGGGCUGGACUUCCCUUUUCUGUACAAGGUCCCCCUUACUGCUUGAUAGUUGGCGGCACGAGUUGCUAUCUUUUUGGCCUCGUCGUUAUCUUCGGGGAGCUUUCCCUUCUCUAGGUAUUCUAGGUAUGGGGUCAUCCAAGUUGGGCUUUGUUCCACCUGUAGCACCGUGCUUGUUUUACUGAAAGCGGGCGUAAGGACGUGUUGUAUGUACACUUCGUCAGGAAGCUGUUCUAGUUCUUCUUUAGACAACCGGCUAAGCAGGUCUGCUUCCUCAUUUUCUUCUCAUGGUAUUCUUUGGAACUUGAUGGUAACUCCCUGAU
rnacentral:lncRNA from 1 species